rnacentral:rRNA from 1 species
AUUGAACGCUGGCGGCAGGCCUAACACAUGCAAGUCGAACGAGUGGCGGACGGGUGAGUAAAGUCUAGGAAACUGCCCGAUGGAGAGGGAUAACUACUGGAAACGGUAGCUAAUCCCGCAUAACAUCAGAUGUGCCAAGAUGGGAUUAGCUAGUAGGUGUGGUCACUGCUCACCUAGGCGACGAUCCCUAGCUGGCCUGAUAGGAUGACCAGCCACCCUGGAACUGAGACACGGUCCAGACUCCUACGGGAGGCAGAAGUGGGGAAUAGUUCACAAUGGGCGAAAGCCUGAUGCAGCCAUGCCGCGUGUAUGAAGAAGGCCUUCGGGUUGUAAAGUACUUUCAGCGAGGAGGCGUUACUCGCAGAAGAAGCACCGGCUAACUCCGUGCCAGCCGCCGCGGUAAUUC